rnacentral:rRNA from 1 species
AUGAACGCUGGCGGCGUGCCUCAUCCAUGCAAGUCGAGCGAACGGACGAGAAGCUUGCUUCUCUGAUGUUAGCGGCGGACGGGUGAGUAACACGUGGAUAACCUACCUAUAAGACUGGGAUAACUUCGGGAAACCGUAGCUAAUACCGGAUAAUAUUUUGAACCGCAUGGUUCAAAAGUGAAAGACGGUCUUGCUGUCACUUAUAGAUGGAUCCGCGCUGCAUUAGCUAGUUGGUAAGGUAACGGCUUACCAAGGCAACGAUGCAUAGCCGACCUGAGAGGGUGAUCGGCCACACUGGAACUGAGACACGGUCCAGACUCCUACGGGAGGCAGCAGUAGGGAAUCUUCCGCAAUGGGCGAAAGCCUGACGGAGCAACGCCGCGUGAGUGAUGGAGGUCUUCGGAUCGUAAAACUCUGUUAUUAGGGAAGAACAUAUGUGUAAGUAACUGUGCACAUCUUGACGGUACCUAAUCAGAAAGCCACGGCUAACUACGUG